AGUAGCCUAGUAGGACAGCCCCAGUUCAGUAGGACAACCCCUGGAGCACCUAACCAUGGUAGAGACCUGCAAAACCAGGAAGUGGGUGGCAGGCCUCUUCUACCUACUGCAUGGUUCAUGGGAGAGCACGGCAGAGCUAGCUUCCUGAAGCAGUCCUGAGCAGGGCCUCUUGCUUCUCCCUGCCUGCUUGGGUGGGAAAGGUUGCAUGUACAUGAAGAGAUGGGUCAAUAAGGCUGCCUUGGGCCUAAAGACAAAGGCACAGUAAGAACUGAGCCCUGGCAACCUGGCUUGGGUACCAAAAUGGGAUGCAGAAAGCUUUGGUGUUCCAUGGAGGGUGGGUGAAAGGCAUUGUAGGUCCCCUAAACCUGGCCAUGAGAUAACGUCCCAGUGGCUUCCCCCAGUACCCUGGGAGGAAGGCAGAUCGGAACAGAACUGAUUAACAGCUGUCUGGAAGGAAACCAAAGUUA
rnacentral:lncRNA from 1 species